AUUGAAUUGAAUGCAUGUUUGCAAAAGUGGGCGGCCUAAAUGUUGCGGAUCCGACCAAUUUGGGUGCUUGUUUUUCUAACAUUGAGCAGUAUUAUCACUCCAGUCUAUUUAAAACUUGAUGGUUCCAAUACAUAUGAGGUCCAUUGAACCUCUAAAUGACACUCUCUCAAUUUGAUCUUAAUUAACCAUACUUUUUGUACUUUAUUUAAAAUUUGAAUGAUUUUUAUAUAGCUUCAAAAUUUAUUUCCUCAAAAAAAUAAUAGAAAAACUGUUCUUUUUCUUUUUAUUUCACUAUAUUUGAUAUUAUUAAAAAGAAAAUAGAAGUGGAGUCAGAGACUAACUAAAGACAGAAAAACACCCACAAAUAAAGAAAAAAUUUUUGGAAAAGGGGUUCCUUGUCCCAUAAAUGAAGAUGAAUCACAGUUAUCCAUUAUGUGGUAUAUAAAAGUCUUAAGUUCCUGGUUGAAGAAGUUUCCAGUUGUAAUUUCAAUACUCCUGAUUGUCACCAGGUUCCCAUCAGCAUUGUCCCUGAUCAGGGAUCUGAUGUUGACCAAACCAUGAAGUAUGCAUUGCAUAUGCAACAAAGUACAAAAAUUAAGUUGGGGAAAAAAUCAGUAUAAGUUCUCUAACAAUGAAGAGGAAAAAGAAAGACAAGUUCCUUCACUUAGGACGGAAGAGGAACUGUCCCCAUCAAGAACGUCCAUAGUAACAUUAAUCCCGAGAAAAAUCAUCUUUGACCCAAAUAAAAAGAUUGAAAGACUAAGGGACAUAUCCUUUCAUCAAUUUAUUGUUGCAGUGUAAGUCUGAACACUAUUGACUGCAUCUGAUUCCACUUUCAGAUAAUUCAUAUAAUCGUCAACUUCUUUCAAUUUUUUUUUCCUUUAAUAGAUUUAGGUAUUCUAUGCAAUUGUUCAAAUUCCGAAUCUUUCAUACAUAUCUAUCUUUAUAUUGUUAUUAAUGACUCUAAAUAUCUUUAUGUAUAUAAAUAUAGCUAACUUCCUCAAUCAUCCUUAUUUCAUUAUUGUAUUUAGUAAUUACUCUGUAAUCUGCUAUAGUGCAUUUCAUGCUAUAAAUAAAUUGCUUUUGCUUAUUAACUAAGUUUCCGAGUAAGUUCUCUCUUCCCAGAUCCUUAUGUCAGUAAUCUGUGCAUCUUUAUUUCAAAUUUUUGAUUAGAUAACAUAAUUUUGACUGGCAUCUAUUGUGCAAUCCUUAUAUAUGUUUUAUGUUGUAGCCAAGGAACUUUUACUCUUUUCUAGACAUUUUUUCUUUAGACUACAUUGAAUUCAGCCCCG
rnacentral:lncRNA from 1 species